rnacentral:pre_miRNA from 8 species
AUAUAUACACACAUACAUGUAUGUGUGUAUAUAUACAUAUAUACACACAUACAUGUAUGUGUGUAUGUAUA